GAUGAAGAACGUAGCGAAAUGCGAUAAGUAAUGUGAAUUGCAGAAUUCAGUGAAUCAUCGAAUCUUUGAACGCACAUUGCGCCCAUUAGUAUUCUAGUGGGCAUGCCUGUUCGAGCGUCAUUUCAACCCUUAAGCCCUCGUUGCUUAGCGUUGGGAGCCUACGGUGUUCGCACCGUCGCUCCCCAAAGUCAGUGGCAGAGUCGGUUCGCACUCUAGGCGUAGUAAUUUUUAUCUCGCUUCUGUAGUCGGGCCGCCCCUCGCCGUAAAACCCCCCAAUUUUAACAAGGUUGACCUCGGAUCAGGUAGGAAUACCCGCUGAACUUAAGCAUAUCAAUAAGCGGAGGA
rnacentral:misc_RNA from 1 species